GCUAGGAUUGCUAGGAACAUUUUAUUUUUAGCUCCUAUCUCUUCAUAUCGUGAUAUUUUCAACUUUCUAAAACUAGAUGGAAUUAGGAAAAUGGGAUUGUUAAUUCAAACUUUUUUUUUAAAACGAGAAAAGUGCAAAGUAGUUAUCCCCUACACUAGGUGACUGAUACUAGAUGAGGUGCCUGAAAUUUGGACCACAAUUUUG
rnacentral:misc_RNA from 1 species